rnacentral:lncRNA from 1 species
CCCUUCUGGAGUCUCCCUUCUGUGUGCUCGGACUUCAAGUCUGACAGGGCAUGUGGGUUCUGAGAUGAGCUUCUCACUUCCUGUAUCAGCAACUUGCUCCUCGUCCACCAUCCAGUCAAUACAGAGGCGUGAGAGCUGCCAAGCAGAGCAUGUAUGGACCCUAUGGAGAAAGGAUCCUCACCGGGAAGCACUUGUUCAGCUGAGCCAUGAUGGUAACUCAGGCUGGGGGAAGCGAAGGGAUGGCAAACGUCACAGAGCCGAUGAAUUGAGGAAAUAUUAGGAGACAGAAUCUGAAGAGGCUAACAAUCUUGGAGCAUUUCUUGACCUAUUGCCAUGUGCCAUCCAUGGACUCUCUUCUUCAACUCUCCAUCCACCUACCCUCUAAGAGUGUUCCUAUUCUUAUCUGAGCAGAAGCUGGGACAUCAAGCAGAACCAUCCAGCUUGUCAGUGCAGAGCUGAGACGCAAGCCCAGCACUCAAGUACCAAUCCUCUUAUCCUUCCCUCUUAAUCAUCGUGUCACACUUUUGAGGUUUCCGGCUUGGGCAGCUGAGAGAAUGAUGGCACCAUUUACUGCGGGACAGCACACAGGAAGAUUCAUGAAUGUGAGUGGGAAGAAAAGGCACGAGGGAGGGACAUUCAAAUGCAAAUGAGGAGCCAAGAGUGUAGAAUGCAUAAGACUGAUUUGGGGAGCAUCCGGCACUAGACAGACAGAGGUCUGAAAAUAGGCAAUAAUCAGUUCACCCUGCUCCUCAUUUGGAAGGGUGCUGAGUUUGGAUGCAGUUUCACUGCUUUUGGAGUGACAUGGAGCUGAGAUGUCAGUAAAACUUAGACUACCUGGACCAAGGCACUGGGAGCUACGUUGAGGUCUCACAUGGGGCUCAUCCAUUUCUUAUCCUCAUUCAAUAUCUGCUCAAAAAGCAUGGUACCAGGCUCCUGGUGUUCUGGGACCCCAGCCUUCCCAAGCCAUGUGGGUACUGAUGCUCCCUGUCUGUGACACAGACACAGGCGUUUCACCACUUUCAUACCGAUUAACUCCUCCUUAAGAAACUCACGUCUCCACGGUGCCUGCCAAAAUGGAAACAGACAGAUAAUACACUGUGUCAUUAACACAUCCCUGUCUAUUUAAAACUCUCUGGAGAAGCAAGCAGAUGAGUCUUGGAGUUAGCUCAGCAUUGGGGAUUAUUGUUUGGCUAAUUAUAAGCAGCACUGUCAGACUCAAGCAGAUACUAAGGGACAUAACCACCCUGUCUGCCCUAAAGAUUGAGGUGUGACUGUUGAAAGCCACCAGCACAACUCUCAAGACAUCUGUAGAUCAGCACUCGGGAGGCCGAGGCAGGAGGAAUUGAAAGACAGAGCGUGCUUUGUAGAGAAACUCUGUCUCAAAAAAACCAAAAACCGCACAAAAACUUAGAGGGGCCAUGACUCCCUAGCAACCAGCAAUCCCCACCCCUCCACCCCCUACCACAGUCUCGUGUCCCAUAUUUGCAUAUUAUGUAGAUUUGAGGUUGAACCUGUUUGGUAAUAAAAUAUAAGAGUGAAAGUUUCA